GACGAACGCUGGCGGCGUGCCUAAUACAUGCAAGUAGAACGCACAGUUUAUACCGUAGCUUGCUACACCAUAGACUGUGAGUUGCGAACGGGUGAGUAACGCGUAGGUAACCUGCCUGGUAGCGGGGGACAACUAUUGGAAACGAUAGCUAAUACCGCAUAAUAUUGAUUAUUGCAUGAUAAUUGAUUGAAAGAUGCUAUUGCAUCACUACCAGAUGGACCUGCGUUGUAUUAGCUAGUAGGUGAGGUAACGGCUCACCUAGGCGACGAUACAUAGCCGACCUGAGAGGGUGAUCGGCCACACUGGGACUGAGACACGGCCCAGACUCCUACGGGAGGCAGCAGUAGGGAAUCUUCGGCAAUGGACGAAAGUCUGACCGAGCAACGCCGCGUGAGUGAAGAAGGUUUUCGGAUCGUAAAGCUCUGUUGUAAGAGAAGAACGGGUGUGAGAGUGGAAAGUUCACACUGUGACGGUAUCUACCA
rnacentral:rRNA from 1 species